GGACCAUGGUGGUGAGCCUUGGGGUUGGUUUCGGUCACGUCUUCAACGGCUUCCAGUGUGGAGGAGUUACCGAAAGUGAAGUAGCCCUCAGUUGCCAAAUGGUGACGUCUUUUUUUAAAUUACGGUACUGAAAAUCCCCCAAACAAAUGCAAGUUGGGAAGCAGAUUAAAUGGACUCCUCUCCAGGAUUUCCCUCUUUCAGGUUCAUUUCAAGCAUGUCUGUCGUUUCUCUUUACAUAACUGUUGGAACACUUUGCUGAAAUGAAAGGGAUUUCUGGCCGGGGUCCAGAGACGGGCUUGUGGUGCGUGUGUGUGGUAUCCUGAGUGCAUGCUCGGAAUCCCAGAUCCUGGUCUAGAGAGCAAAGUCAAUCUCUUUGCACAACCUAACCCCCCUUCCCCACAGACAAGGGUCACGAGCCCCCCCCCAAAUCAAGAUUUCCCACCCCAGGGCCAGGUGCUCCGGCCCCCAGAAAUCCUGGCUAUUGAGCGGAGAUCCAUGGGUCUACAUUUCUAGCAUUGAUUGGCAAAUGCUACUCUAUAUUCAAGUAUAUUCAGUGAUAGACAAGAAAAGUGAUAGACCCUUAUACAGAGUCAGACCCCAAUGGGACCACUGCCUUCAGCAUCGGGGCCUUGGUUGGGGGCCACUUCUGAAGAAGAUUGCUGAGCACCUGACCCUGCGGGGUUAUGGACAGACACGUUUGUGCUUUUAUGGAGAGUGUGUGUGUGUGUGUUUGCCUUCUACAGAGUCAGCCCACUGGACCACCUCGGUCAGGUAACUGGAGAGUCAACGGGGGAACUUAGGAGAUGUGGCGUUUCUGCUCAGCUGCUGGACUGCAGCUGCCACCUUAAAGGGAUAGCUGCCCACCAGGCCCACACAUUUUGGCCACCGGUGCCACUUUGGGGCAACGAAGACUCAAGAGUGAUCUUUGGCAACGUCUAAGCCCCUAGAGAUGGACAAUCGGAGACAGCCUUGCUGCACUUACAGUGGUGUGUGUUUACACACGUACUGUGAUAUUCUCUACCAUCUGAAAGACUUUUGCUCCUCCCACUUUUUGUGCUAUAGCUUUGCGCUUUUUAUAUAUAGUUAUUAUACCGUCUCGCUGUAUUUGUUGGGCUUUUAUGCAAAUACACCUUUUGUGCCUUUUAUCCUUGUUUAUGCCUUUUAUUCCUUUAAGUCUGGUGGGCCUUUUAAGGCUAUUUUCUGCCCUUUUAUGCAUGUCAGUACUUUUUAAAGUUUCCUUAAGACCUGUCAGCUAUCUUUCAGCAUUAUGCUUUGCACUAUGUAACCAUCCCAUGUAUUUUAUGCUGGUCUAUAACCUCAAUAAAGAUGCUAGAUUGUG